GGUUUGGUGGUGUAAUGGUUAUCACGUCUCCUUUACACGGAGAAGGCUCCGAGUUCAAUUCUCGGCCGAAUCA